GACGAACGCUGGCGGCGUGCUUAACACAUGCAAGUCGAACGAUGAUGCCCAGCUUGCUGGGUGGAUUAGUGGCGAACGGGUGAGUAACACGUGAGUAACCUGCCCCUGACUCUGGGAUAAGCGUUGGAAACGACGUCUAAUACUGGAUAUGACUGCCGGCCGCAUGGUCUGGUGGUGGAAAGAUUUUUUGGUUGGGGAUGGACUCGCGGCCUAUCAGCUUGUUGGUGAGGUAAUGGCUCACGAAGGCGACGACGGGUAGCCGGCCUGGGAGGGUGACCGGACACACUGGGACUGAGACACGGCCCAGACUCCUACGGGAGGCAGCAGUGGGGAAUAUUGCACAAUGGGCGGAAGCCUGAUGCAGCAACGCCGCGUGAGGGAUGACGGCCUUCGGGUUGUAAACCUCUUUUAGUAGGGAAGAAGCGUAAGUGACGGUACCUGCAGAAAAAGCACCGGCUAACUACGUGCCAGCAGCCGCCGUAA
rnacentral:rRNA from 1 species